rnacentral:rRNA from 1 species
UACGUAGGGGGCAAGCGUUGUUCGGAAUUACUGGGCGUAAAGGGCGCGUAGGCGGCGGCGCAAGUCGGCUGUGAAAGGCCUGGGCUCAACCCGGGACGUGCAGCCGAAACUGCGCGGCUUGAGUGCGGAAGAGGCACCUGGAAUUCCCAGUGUAGCGGUGAAAUGCGUAGAUAUUGGGAAGAACACCGGAGGCGAAGGCGGGGUGCUGGGCCGACACUGACGCUGAGGCGCGAAAGCCAGGGGAGCGAACGGG